UCAAGGACUUCAAGGAGCAAAGGACUUGGAGGUGGUCCAUCCUUGAUCUAAAAUCAAGAUCAAGAGGUAUAGAUCUAUACUUUCACUUUGUUCUUUACUUGAAUGUUAUAGAUGCAUUAUAUAUAAACCUAUGAACCUUGAAGGGGAUUUGCAUGACUAUAGCUUUGAUAUUAUUUGAUAAAUUGCUUCCGUUGCUCGUGUAUAUAAAUUUUGAAUUGUAUAUGCAUGCUAGUCAUUUAGAAAUCCCAUGUGUUAAACUCAUAAUUUUACCUUCAACAAGGUCCUUGAUGCGAAAAUUAACUUUACACACAAAUUAACCCUCUCGUUGACAAUUGUAGUAUGGAUAAGUAGGGAUCGGUCUUAAAUCGGGGAUUAGGAAGGAUUGCUAAAACACUCUAAACUGACUCAAAUAUAUAAAAAAAAGAGGCUAAAAACACUUAACUAGACUCAAAGAACUCAAAACAAACUCAAAAGACUCAAAACAAUCUAAAAACGCUUAAAUAUGCCUAAAAACACAAAUUGGGCAGAUUUGGACUCUAAACACAUUUUUGGAUGAAUUUUGGUUUUAUGUUGAUUCAAAACACUAAAAAACACAAACUAAACAGAUUCUAACUAAUUAGAAACUCUAAAGUAAAGGGGGAUUUGGUUUUGGACGAAAAUAAAGUAAAAUAAAGCAAGAAUUAAAACUAAACAGAUUUGCACGAAAUUGGUUGAAUUAGAUGGAUGAUGGGCUAGCUAGAGGGUUCUUCUCCACACAUGACACACUUGCAUUUAAAUUGAUUUCCAAUUACUUCUCUCAAUAAGUCAUGAAACUUAAUACUCCAGGUUAACUGUGACAACACUUUUUUAACCUUCAAGUUCUCCUUAAGUUAAUGAAUUGGAUGGGAAAGCACAUACAACAAUUCAAAACAUGCUCUAAAAGUCCCCUACGUGAAAAGCACAAUAAAGGUACAAUCAAAGAUCAUUAAGCUUCAUGAAAACUAUAAGUAUUGACGAGGCAUUCGUAACUAUGAUGAGCAUGAUACUCUUGCCAAGAAUUCACUUAACGCGAUCGUUUAUAAGCGACCUCCACUACUUAUAAAUAUAAGUUUGUAACUAUUAGGUGAAACUCCCUUAUAUUUUAGCUUCAAAUCCAUGCAUGAAAACUAAGCGUGCACUCUUAAUAAACAUACAAGAAUAAGUUAUCAAUCAAGCAGUUAAGCAAAUUGAAUUCACAACUUAUGAAAUAAUAAUCGAAGGUAAUCAAUUCAUAU
rnacentral:lncRNA from 1 species